rnacentral:rRNA from 1 species
GACAGAGGGUGCAAACGUUGUUCGGAAUUACUGGGCGUAAAGCGCGUGUAGGCGGCUCUGAAAGUCGGAUGUGAAAGCCCCGGGCUUAACCUGGGAAUGGCAUUGGAAACUGGCGGGCUUGAGUGCGGCAGAGGGGGGUGGAAUUCCGCGUGUAGCAGUGAAAUGCGUAGAGAUGCGGAGGAACACCGAUGGCGAAGGCGGGUCUCUGGGCAACAACUGACGCUGAGGAGCGAAAGCGUGGGGAGCGAACAGG